rnacentral:rRNA from 1 species
CGGGAAACCGGGGCUAAUGCCGGGUAAUACUUUCUUUCGCAUGAAGGAAAGUUGAAAGAUGGCUUCUCGCUAUCACUUACAGAUGGGCCCGCGGCGCAUUAGCUAGUUGGUGAGGUAACGGCUCACCAAGGCGACGAUGCGUAGCCGACCUGAGAGGGUGAUCGGCCACACUGGGACUGAGACACGGCCCAGACUCCUACGGGAGGCAGCAGUAGGGAAUCUUCCGCAAUGGACGAAAGUCUGACGGAGCAACGCCGCGUGAACGAUGAAGGUCUUCGGAUCGUAAAGUUCUGUUGUUAGGGAAGAACAAGUACCGUGCGAAUAGAGCGGUACCUUGACGGUACCUAACGAGGAAGCCCCGGCUAACUACGUGCCAGCAGCCGCGGUAAUACGUAGGGGGCAAGCGUUGUCCGGAAUUAUUGGGCGUAAAGCGCGCGCAGGCGGUUCCUUAAGUCUGAUGUGAAAGCCCACGGCUCAACCGUGGAGGGUCAUUGGAAACUGGGGAACUUGAGGACAGAAGAGGAGAGUGGAAUUCCACGUGUAGCGGUGAAAUGCGUAGAUAUGUGGAGGAACACCAGUGGCGAAGGCGACUCUCUGGUCUGUUUCUGACGCUGAGGUGCGAAAGCGUGGGGUAGCAAACAGGAUUAGAUACCCUGGUAGUCCACGCCGUAAACGAUGAGUGCU